GGGCGAGUGGCGGAAUUGGUAGACGCACUGGAUUUAGGUUCCAGUGGUUAACAGCCGUGUGGGUUCGAGUCCCACCUCGCCCACCA
rnacentral:tRNA from 1 species